GGCUCUGCUGCACAGCUGCAUCGUGGCCUCCCUGUGGGGGCAGCACCAGGGCCUCCCUGGCCAGCAUCUGCCUGCAUCUGCUGACCACCUUUCUUCUAGGAACCUGCCUGGUCUGAGAUGGCUUCGCUUGGCUUUUCAACAACCUCUUCAAUCCUCCGAUGAAUGGUGAAAUAAAGACUGUUCCAAUAUACAGAAGUGGAAAGAAAUAAUCAGUAGCAUACAGAAGUCAAGAGGAAAAUGAUACCAGACGGAAAUACAGAUUUUCACAAAGGAAUGGAGAACACAUGAAAAGGAUCAGAGCCUGAAUAGCCCCACAAUGGCCUCUGCAGGCUGGAGCGUGGAGAAAUCAGCAGCCGCUUGGUCCAUGAGGCUGGGAGCUGGAAGAAGAGGGCGUGAUGGUACCCCAGUCUGGGGCUGACAGCCUAGAAGCUUCUGCAAAAUCACUGCUGGAGUCUGAUGUUCUGGAUGGUGACAGCGGCAAAUCUGCACUUUUGCACGCAGGUGUGUUUAUGUGUGCACAAGGGUCUAUUUCUCUUCCACCCAGGUCCCCAGCCUAUUUGAUGAUGGUACCACGUGCAGUCCAGGUGGCUCUUUCCCCUCAGUCCACUGACCAGCAUGCUGAUGGUCUCUGCAACACCCUACAGACUCCAAAAAGCCUGCUUUGCCAAUUUUCCAGGCAACUCUCAGUCCAAUCAAGUUGACAAACAAGGUUAAGGCCAUAGGAGCUCAGGAGAAGAGCAGGCUUCUGAGAGCUGGGAAUUUUUUGUGAAGAUGAGGUUGGCAAUAAACAGAGCAGAGGAAAAGCAUGCAGAGGUCUCUGUGGCUAAAAAGAGAGAGAGGACAGCCCACAUAGCUGCUCAAAAUGCGCCUGUAUCCCAAGAGCCUGUUCGCCGCCAAGCCAAAAGGAUGGAUAAGUUCAUAGGAAAUUGCUUUUUAAACCACACAAAACUAAAACCUAGCAUGUUCUCAAGCACCUGUAAUACAUCUACCAUCAGAUGGGAGCGAGAACAGGUGACGUCUUCAGAGACAGAGAUGGCAGGAAUGGGCACAGUUUAGGAGGUGGGAUUAGGCAAGAUAGUACUGAUGCCCGUGCAUGCAGGGAAGACUCCAUGCCAGUGUUAAUGAGCCAGUGCUAAUGAGCCAGGUGAUGCAGCCCUGAAGAGUGGGGGUUUUCAAGUAUUACUUAGGAAGACAGCAGGGAACAGGUCCCAAGUUUUAGUUCCAUGAGAACAUUGCAUUGUUCCAGUAAACACUUAGACCUCGGAGGCCUCCUCCUGACUUCCUAUCACCCUACCUAUCUUUUUCAUCCUGCCAGUUUGACCUUGAUGACUCCCAACAAAGUUGAUUGCUUCAGACAUUUGUGGGAAAACGUGUCAGGCACCUUUAGCCUGAAUCAACAUUGUGCUUCAGAUGUAACCUGACAGAGAGACUCUAUUUUGACUUUGUUCUGUAUUAAACAGUGAUCAUUUGCUGAUGGUUCCUUGUGCAAAUCAAAAAGAAAAUGAUUAGAUGUAUGUAGGCAAGUAGUGACUUGUGAUGACAGUUUCUGUGAAGAUGUAGAAAGUAUCAAAAAUAUAUUGCUGGGAAUUUUCUGUUUGUUUUCAUUAUCUAAUGUGUACCAGGUUUGGGGGAACUGAGCGUGUGUAUAUGUGUGUUUCCAUGUAGGGAGAAAGUGCAAAGUUAUUAACAUUUUCAUCUGCAGAAACUGAUUGAAAUUGUAUUCAUUGGCUCAAAAGUAAGAUCUAUUUACAGGGUGCUGGUUGGCAAUGUCUUCUGGAAAGAAUAUCAAGAAUGAGAAGUUGUCACACCAGGCUGCAGUCCUGGCUGUGUCUUCUAGACAAGGGUUUUGAGGGGUAGUUUUAAAGGGGCCUGGCUCAAGUUGGAGGGCCUGCUGGGCUCUGAGGUAGGGCUUGAUAACGGUUAAUGGGUCACACUCUGGCUUGUCACCUCCUCAGGAAAAACCAAUCUGUUUUCUAAGUUCACGAAUGACAGGAUUAUUGUGUAAAUGCUACUGAAAUGCUUUUAUUGUGACUGUUUUCCUCUGAAGCUGCUGGAAGGGGCUUUGCCAAGAAAAGCAAACAAUAAAAUGCAAACAUGCCCUGUAAUGAUGUCCCAGCUUCCACACGUGAGGGCACCAGGGACUUCAUCUCCAGCUACCCUCGCUCCAUUCUGGCCCUGGAGAAGAGAUGAGGCACAGCAGAGGAUGGGUCACUGCUUGAGGGAACACAGAUGGCAACUGCAGCCCCUUCUGUUUGCUCAGGGCAAAGCUGUCACACAGGAGCAUUUUCCACUCCUGCCAGUCAUGCCCAGUCUAUGAGAGUGCAUGUGCCCGGCCAGAGUGGCCACCAGUGUGUGCAAGGUGCACUGGGUGCGAGUGUUUCGGUCCCCACACUGCCCCUCUCAGGAGUCUCCUGCAUUCCCAAGGCCGCUCUCUCCCCACCAUCCUUUCUUAUGUCACCUGCCUGUCCUGCACACUGGUAUGAGAGAUGCUCCUGUUUCUCUGUGAACUGACUCAUUUCUGUCAUGGACAUUAAAUGUUUUUUUGAUA